rnacentral:rRNA from 1 species
UACGUAGGGGGCAAGCGUUGUCCGGAUUUAUUGGGCGUAGAGAGCGUGUAGGCGGCCAGGUAGGUCUGCUGUGAAAACUCGAGGCUCAACCUCGAGACGUCGGCGGAAACCAUCUGGCUAGAGUCCGGAAGAGGAGAAUGGAAUUCCCGGUGUAGCGGUGAAAUGCGCAGAUAUCGGGAGGAACACCGGUGGCGAAGGCGGUUCUCUGGGCCUUACCUGACGCUGAGGAGCGAAAGCGUGGGGAGCGAACAGG